rnacentral:rRNA from 1 species
UACGUAGGAGGCAAGCGUUGUCCGGAAUUACUGGGCGUAAAGCGCGUGUAGGUGGUGGGACAAGUCUGCUGUGAAAGCGCCUGGCUUAACCGGGCGAGGUCGGCGGAAACUGUCCGACUCGAGGACGGUAGAGGGGGUGGAAUUCCCAGUGUAGCGGUGAAAUGCGUAGAUAUUGGGAGGAACACCAGUGGCGAAGGCGGCCACCUGGACCGGUUCUGACGCUGAUGCGCGAAAGCGUGGGAGCAAACAGG